rnacentral:rRNA from 1 species
UACUGGAGGACCGAACCGACUAAUGUUGAAAAUUAGCGGAUGACUUGUGGCUAGGGGUGAAAGGCCAAUCAAACUCGGAGAUAGCUGGUUCUCCCCGAAAGCUAUUUAGGUAGCGCCUCGGACGAAUACUACUGGGGGUAGAGCACUGUUAAGGCUAGGGGGUCAUCCCGACUUACCAACCCUUUGCAAACUCCGAAUACCAGUAAGUACUAUCCGGGAGACACACGGCGGGUGCUAACGUCCGUCGUGAAGAGGGAAACAACCCAGACCGCCAGCUAAGGUCCCAAAGUUAUAGCUAAGUGGGAAACGAUGUGGGAAGGCUCAGACAGCCAGGAUGUUGGCUUAGAAGCAGCCAUCAUUUAAAGAAAGCGUAAUAGCUCACUGGUCGAGUCGGCCUGCGCGGAAGAUUUAACGGGGCUAAGCUAUACACCGAAGCUGCGGCAAUGCAGUUUACUGCAUUGGGUAGGGGAGCGUUCUGUAAGCCGUUGAAGGUGAAUCGUAAGGUUUGCUGGAGGUAUCAGAAGUGCGAAUGCUGACAUGAGUAACGAUAAAGGGAGUGAAAAACUCCCUCGCCGGAAGAUCAAGGGUUCCUGUCCAACGUUAAUCGGGGCAGGGUAAGUCGACCCCUAAGGCGAGGCCGAAAGGCGUAGUCGAUGGGAAACGGGUUAAUAUUCCCGUACUUCUUAUAAUUGCGAUGGAGGGACGGAGAAGGCUAGGUGAGCCUGGCGACGGUUGUCCAGGUCCAAGUAUGUAGGCUGAUGGUUUAGGCAAAUCCGGACCAUCUUAAGGCUGAGAUACGAUGUCGAGUCACUACGGUGACGAAGUCAUUGAUGCCAUGCUUCCGGGAAAAGCUUCUAAGCUUCAGAUUAUAAGAAAUCGUACCCCAAACCGACACAGGUGAUCAGGUAGAGAAUACCAAGGCGCUUGAGAGAACUCGGGUGAAGGAACUAGGCAAAAUGGUACCGUAACUUCGGGAGAAGGUACGCUCCUAGCGGUGAUGAGACUUGCUCUCUAAGCUGCCGGGAGUCGCAGAUACCAGGUGGCUGCAACUGUUUAUUAAAAACACAGCACUGUGCAAAAUCGAAAGAUGACGUAUACGGUGUGACGCCUGCCCGGUGCCGGAAGGUUAAUUGAUGGGGUUAGACUUCGGUCGAAGCUCUUGAUCGAAGCCCCGGUAAACGGCGGCCGUAACUAUAACGGUCCUAAGGUAGCGAAAUUCCUUGUCGGGUAAGUUCCGACCUGCACGAAUGGCGUAAUGAUGGCCACGCUGUCUCCACCCGAGACUCAGUGAAAUUGAAAUCGCAGUGAAGAUGCUGCGUCCCCGCGGCUAGACGGAAAGACCCCGUGAACCUUUACUAUAGCUUGGCACUGAACAUUGACCCUACAUGUGUAGGAUAGGUGGGAGACGUUGAAGCAACCGCGCCAGUGGUUGUGGAGUCAAUCUUGAAAUACCACCCUUGUAUGCUUGAUGUUCUAACGUUGGCCCCUUAUCGGGGUUACGGACAGUGCCUGGUGGGUAGUUUGACUGGGGCGGUCUCCUCCCAAAGAGUAACGGAGGAGCACGAAGGUGGGCUAAUCACGGUCGGACAUCGUGAGGUUAGUGCAAUGGCAUAAGCCCGCUUGACUGCGAGAAUGACAAUUCGAGCAGGUGCGAAAGCAGGUCAUAGUGAUCCGGUGGUUCUGAAUGGAAGGGCCAUCGCUCAACGGAUAAAAGGUACUCCGGGGAUAACAGGCUGAUACCGCCCAAGAGUUCAUAUCGACGGCGGUGUUUGGCACCUCGAUGUCGGCUCAUCACAUCCUGGGGCUGAAGUCGGUCCCAAGGGUAUGGCUGUUCGCCAUUUAAAGUGGUACGCGAGCUGGGUUUAGAACGUCGUGAGACAGUUCGGUCCCUAUCUGCCGUGGGCGUUGGAUGAUUGAGAGGGGCUGCUCCUAGUACGAGAGGACCGGAGUGGACGAACCGCUGGUGUUCGGGUUGUGUCGCCAGACGCAUUGCCCGGUAGCUAAGUUCGGAAUCGAUAACCGCUGAAAGCAUCUAAGCGGGAAGCGAGCCUCAAGAUGAGUCAUCCCUAGACCUUUAAGGUCUCUAAAGGGUUGUUGAAGACUACAACGUUGAUAGGUCGGGUGUGUAAGUGCUGUGAGGCAUUGAGCUAACCGAUACUAAUUGCCCGUGAGGCUUAACCAUACAACACCC